CGUGAUUUAUAAGAAACUGAAACUGUAGUAAGUGCACUAGAGACAGGUGUUUAUUUCAUCACCGCGUUAAAAGCUGUGGGAGAAAUGCACGUUAUUAGAUUUUUUCAUAAGAAAUUAAUUUGUUUUAAGAGGAAAAUAAUUGCAUUAGUGACAGGACUAAAGGAAUACAUGUGGAUGUGGGGACAAUCAAGAGUCACACUGAAGGCAUCAAGGGCUAUUUGACCAAGAAGGAGAGUGAUGGGGUGCUGCGCCAGAUGACCUGGCCUCCACAGUCACCGGACCUGAACCCAAUCCAGAUGGUUUAGGGGUGAGCUGGACCGCAGACAGAAGGCUAAAGGGCCAACAAGUGCUAAGCAUCUCUCGGGGGAACUCCUUCAAGACUGUUGGAAGACCAUUUCAGGUGACUACCUCUUGAAGCUCAUCAAGAGAAGCCAAGAGUGUGCAAAGCAGUAAUCAAAGCAAAAGUGUGAAUCUACAAUUUUCAUAGUCAUGAAAAUAAAGAAGACUCUGUGAUUGAGAAGGUGUGUCCAAACUUUUGGUCUGUACUGUAUAUAAUAUGGUUAGUUUCACUGUAUUUUUAUGAAGUCUUGUUUCCCCUCUUUUCAACCUGUCGGUUUUAGAGGCAAGGUGUUUUAUUUGUCUUCCAUUCUUCCAUGUCCUAAAACUAUAGUUUCAUGGCAACUGUUAUUAUUGAAUCACGCAGCAAAGUGUUCAAAAUCUUUUUCAAAAUAAUUAAGACAUUUCUAAGUGCUUUCAUUGCCCUGGGGACAGACUUCUAGUGUCGUUGCCUCAUGGGGCCUCAAUCACACUGGGGAACCCUCCAGAGAACAAAAUAAAACAGGAGAGGCUUUAGCUUCCAUUGAAAAUGGGUUUGUUGCUUUUGAGUGCCAUAAUGUGCUCCACAUGCUUGGAAUGAU